rnacentral:rRNA from 1 species
GGGCCCGCACAAGCAGUGGAGUAUGUGGAUUAAUUCGACGCAACGCGAAGAACCUUACCAGGUCUUGACAUCCUGAGCAUAGCAUGGAGACAUGUGAAAUCCUUCGGGACUCAGAGACAGGUGGUGCAUGGUUGUCGUCAGCUCGUGUCGUGAGAUGUUGGGUUAAGUCCCGCAACGAGCGCAACCCUUAUCGUUAGUUACUACGCAAGAGGACUCUAGCGAGACUGCCGUUGACAAAACGGAGGAAGGUGGGGAUGACGUCAAAUCAUCAUGCCCUUUAUGACCUGGGCUUCACACGUACUACAAUGGCCGUUAACAGAGAGAAGCGAAGUCGCGAGGCAGAGCAAAACUCAGAAAAACGGUCUCAGUUCGGAUCGGAGGCUGCAACCCGCCUCCGUGAAGCCGGAAUUGCCCUAGUAAUCGCGGAUCAGCAUGCCG